rnacentral:tRNA from 1 species
GGGAAUUUGCUUGAAAUUCAAGUGCUUGCUUCACGAGCAAGAGGUCGCAGGUUCAAGUCCUGCACCGCCCACCA